rnacentral:piRNA from 1 species
AUGUCAUUGGUCGCAGUUGAAUGCUGUGUAG